rnacentral:rRNA from 1 species
CGGGAUAGCCUGCCGAAAGGCAGAUUAAUACCGUAUGCGGUCCGAAGACGGCAUCAGAUUCGGGACUAAAGGUUCAGCGGUGACGGAUGGGGAUGCGUCCGAUUAGGUAGUAGGCGGGGUAACGGCCCACCUAGCCAUCGAUCGGUAGGGGUUCUGAGAGGAAGGUCCCCCACACGGGUACUGAGACACGGACCAGACUCCUACGGGAGGCAGCAGUGAGGAAUAUUGGUCAAUGGUCGGGAGACUGAACCAGCCAAGCCGCGUGAGGGAGGAAGGUACAGAGUAUCGUAAACCUCUUUUGUCAGGGAACAAAACCCGGGACGUGUCCCGGACUGCGUGUAUCCGAAGAAAAAGCAUCGGCUAACUCCGUGCCAGCAGCCGCGGUAAUACGGAGGAUGCGAGCGUUAUCCGGAUUUAUUGGGUUUAAAGGGUGCGUAGGCGGUCCGUUAAGUCAGCGGUAAAAUUGCGGGGCUCAACCCCGUCGAGCCGUUGAAACUGGCAGACUUGAGUUGGCGAGAAGUACGCGGAAUGCGCGGUGUAGCGGUGAAAUGCAUAGAUAUCGCGCAGAACUCCGAUUGCGAAGGCAGCGUACCGGCGCCAGACUGACGCUGAGGCACGAAAGCGUGGGGAUCGAACAGGAUUAGAUACACUGGUAGUCCACGCAGUAAACGAUGAAUGCUGGUUGUCCGGGUCGAAUGAGAUCUGGGCGGCGAAGCGAAAGCGAUAAGCAUUCCACCUGGGGAGUACGCCGGCAACGGUGAAACUCAAAGGAAUUGACGGGGGCCCGCACAAGCGGAGGAACAGGUGGUUUAAUUCGAUGAUACGCGAGGAACCUUACCCGGGCUCAAACGGGAGCGGAAUGGACCAGAGACGGUUCAGCCUACGGGCCGCUUCCGAGGUGCUGCAUGGUUGUCGUCAGCUCGUGCCGUGAGGUGUCGGCUUAAGUGCCAUAACGAGCGCAACCCCCGCCGGCAGUUGCUAACGGGCAAUGCCGAGGACUCUGCCGGGACUGCCGCCGCAAGGCGUGAGGAAGGCGGGGAUGACGUCAAAUCAGCACGGCCCUUACGUCCGGGGCGACACACGUGUUACAAUGGGCGGUACAGCGGGAAGCCAGGCGGCGACGCCGAGCGGAACCCGAAAGCCGUUCUCAGUUCGGAUCGGAGUCUGCAACCCGACUCCGUGAAGCUGGAUUCGCUAGUAAUCGCGCAUCAGCCAUGGCGCGGUGAAUACGUUCCCGGGCCUUGCACACACCGCCCGUCAAG